rnacentral:rRNA from 1 species
AGAGUUUGAUCCUGGCUCAGAAUGAACGUUGGCGGCGUGGAUUAGGCAUGCAAGUCGUGCGUGUACCCCGCAAGGGGGAAAGCGGCGAAAGGGAGAGUAACGCGUGGUUAUCUACCCCCGGGACCGGGAUAGCUGCGGGAAACUGCAGGUAAUACCGGAUGAUGUCUCCGGACCAAAUGGUGUGAUUCCGCCAGGGGAUGAGACCGCGUCCUAUCAGCUAGUUGGCGAGGUAAUGGCUCACCAAGGCUAAGACGGGUACGGGGUGUGAGAGCAUGCCCCCGCUCACUGGGACUGAGAUACUGCCCAGACACCUACGGGUGGCUGCAGUCGAGAAUCUUCGGCAAUGGGCGCAAGCCUGACCGAGCGACGCCGCGUGUGGGAUGAAGGCUUUCGGGUUGUAAACCACUGUCGUAGGGGAGGAAAUGCAUCAGGGUACUCUCUGGUGUUUGACCUAUCCUAGGAGGAAGUACGGGCUAAGUUCGUGCCAGCAGCCGCGGUAAGACGAACCGUACAAACGUUAUUCGGAAUCACUGGGCUUAAAGGGUGCGUAGGCGGCGAGGAAAGUUGGGUGUGAAAUCCCUCGGCUCAACCGAGGAACUGCGCUCAAAACUACCUUGCUUGAGGAAGAUAGAGGUGAGCGGAACUUAGGGUGGAGCGGUGAAAUGCGUUGAUAUCCUAAGGAACGCCAGUGGCGAAAGCGGCUCACUGGAUCUUUUCUGACGCUGAGGCACGAAAGCUAGGGGAGCGAACGGGAUUAGAUACCCCGGUAGUCCUAGCCGUAAACGAUGAGCACUGGGUUGGAGGGCCCCCCAUAGCCUUCCAGCCGUAGCGAAAGUGUUAAGUGCUCCGCCUGGGGAGUAUGGUCGCAAGGCUGAAACUCAAAGGAAUUGACGG